CCUACGGGAGGCAGCAGUGAGGAAUAUUGGUCAAUGGGCUUACGCCUGAACCAGCCAAGUCGCGUGAGGGAAGACUGCCCUAUGGGUUGUAAACCUCUUUUGUCAGGGAGCAACGCCGGCUACGUGUCGCCGGACUGAGAGUACCUGAAGAAAAAGCAUCGGCUAACUCCGUGCCAGCAGCCGCGGUAAUACGGGGGAUGCGAGCGUUAUCCGGAUUUUUUGGGUUAAAGGGGUGAGUAGGCGGAAUGCCAAGUCAGCGGUAAAAUCGCGGGGCUCAAUCUCGCUCCGCCGUUGAAACUGGCGUUCUUGAGUGGGCGUUAAGUAUGCGGAAUGCGUGGUGUAGCGGUGAAAUGCAUAGAUAGCACGCAGAACUCCGAUUGCGAAGGCAGCAUACCGGCGCCCAACUGACGCUGAAGCACGAAAGCGUGGGUAUCGAACAGGAUUAGAUACCCCGGUAGUC
rnacentral:rRNA from 1 species